rnacentral:rRNA from 1 species
AUUCAGUUGGGCACUCUAGAGGGACUGCCGUAGACAAUACGGAGGAAGGUGGGGAGACGUCAAAUCAUCAUGCCCCUUAUGACCUGGCUACACACGUGCUACAAUGGUCUGAACAGAGGGCCGCGAAGCCGCGAGGUGAAGCAAAUCCCUUAAAACAGAUCCCAGUUCGGAUUGCAGGCUGCAACUCGCCUGCAUGAAGUUGGAGUUGCUAGUAAUCGCGGAUCAGAAUGCCGCGGUGAAUGCGUUCCCGGGUCUUGUACACACCGCCCGUCACACCACGAGAGUUGGCAACACCCGAAGCCUGUGAGAGAACCGCAAGGACUCAGCAGUCGAAGGUGGGGCUAGUAAUUGGGGUGAAGUCGUAACAAGGUAGCCGUAUCGGAAGGUGCGGCUGGAUCACCUCCUUUCUAGGGA